AAAACACAAAAGCCGCCACACCCGAAAUUUCCCUUCCUAUUUUCCCCCAAAGGAGACAAGGACACCAGCACAAAUAGACCAUAGGCGAUAGUCACAGAACCCUAACCAUGAUACACACGCAUGCAUAUACCUUCAGUAACAAUUAAUCUCUGGAAAUUUUGAUUUGGAGAUUUCGACUUUCUCGUUUUUCUUGAUUUCGGACUCUUCGCAUUUAAUUAUCGUUGAAAUUGAAAUGGCGAACGAACGAUCUUUUGCAAAUAAAGCUUCGCCGUCAUCAUCUUCUUCGACUGUAGAUUCGUACAUAGGAAGCUUCGUAAGUUUGAUAUCGAAGUAUGAAAUUCGUUACGAGGGCCUCCUAUACUACCUCAACCCUCAAGAUUCAACCCUCGGCCUCAAAAGCGUAAGAUCUUAUGGAACUGAGGGGCGGAAGAAAGAUGGCCCACAAAUUCCUGCAAACGAUAAAGUGUAUGAAUAUAUUUUGUUUCGAGGAAACGAUAUUAAGGAUUUGCAAGUUAAGUCUUCCCCACCUGCUCAAACGGAUGAGCAAAUGCACAAUGAUCCAGCUAUUAUUCAGUCACACUAUGCUGGGAGAUCUUCCUUGUCAUCAGCUUCAGUUGGCGGUGCAACUUCGAUAGAAUCAAGCCAGGAUAUUACAGCUUUGACCACUGGAGCCUGUAACGAGUCUUUAUCUUCAUAUCAGUCUAAAACCACCCAUAUAGGUUCAUGGGGUCAUUCACCAGCUGCUCAGACUGCCAGUGUAUCUUCUUUUUCACCACCAAUGGAUUGGCAAGGGUAUAAUGAUGCAGCUUCCAGUGUUUCUCAUUCUUCACAUCUUCCUAAGCCUAUUCAACCAACAUCCAUGCCAUCGUUCCCCUCAAAAGUGCAGAAUCAGUUGCUUGCUUCUGAAAUUGAAGUGUCCUCACCAAGGUGCUUGACAAAUGCAUUAGAACAUGUCAUUCCAGUACCUUUACUUACUGCAUAUGGUUCUGAAUAUCCAAAAAUUUUACCUACUCCAGAACAGUUUUCUACUUCUCCCAGUGAUACAUCAUCCUCCUUGCCCAUCAAGACACCUCUACCAUCUCAUUCUGAAUCCAUGACAGCUAAUAAACGGAUCAUGUCUUCACUUUCUUCAUCGUGUCGAGAUAUUAACACUGUUGAACCUUCUGUUAUUGGUGGGGCUUUUUCUGGUCCCAUUUUUGUUCAUCCUAUUCAGUCUUUGCCUUCUUCAUCUCCAUUGGUUGGUUCUACUUUAGGUCCUUUAUUAACAAAACCACCAACAUUGUUAACUCCUGAUCAGUUAAUGCUGCCUAGACCACCUGUUCUUACUCCAAUGCCGAAAACAUACAAUGAUCAGAAGGAUAAGGGCACUCUGAUACUAACACCAUCUAGCUCUUUAUCCUCGAUUACUGUCCCAGCACUUCAAGAACCAUUAUUGCCAUUGCCAGAUUCUGUGCAGCAGUCUCAAGACUCCACCGAGUUCACUAAAGAAUUUGAUUUUGAAGCAAUGAAUGAGAAAUUUAAAAAGGAUGAGGUCUGGGGCUGUCUUGGUCAUACAAAGCAACGAGAGAGAAGCAAAGGGGUGGAGAAUAGUGCAACUGGGCAGAGCUCGGUGGCUGAAGAUGGCCAUGGCUUGGUACCCAGGUUUGAUCCCAAAUCUGCAUACAAUAAGGAUGACUUCUUUGACACAAUUUCUUGUAAUUCACUCGCCCGUGGAGCGAGAAAUGGACAGAAUAGGUUCUCUGAGAGAAUGAGGCAGGACACUGAGACUUUUGGCAACUUCCAGCAGAGGCCUCGUGUAGGUUAUGGGGGCUAUGGCACUGGACGUGGUGAGAAUUACCGUGGCUCAUUUAAUUGGGGAAGAGGACAUGGAUAUUAUAGGGGAGGCCGUGGUGGGAACAUGGACGUGUACCGGUAUUAGAAUUUAAAUCUUUGAAAGUAUAUGCUUGUCUUUGUCCACUGCUUGCCAAACUCUUAGCUUUUGUGAAAGAUCCUGUGUAUUUCAUGUUAUGGUUUGUAUCCACCCAAACUGGCUGGUUCAAGUUUUUUUGGCCUAUGAACCAGCCUUUAUCACGUAUCAUCUUUAGCCAGUGUUAUCUACAAAAUGGUCAAAAGGGCCAGGUACAAUUGUUUGGAUAAAUGUUUCAGCCUAGUGGGUAACCCAGCUUCUAAUGGGCAUUGAUGACCAGAGAGAUGACUUAUUGUCAUUGUUUUAAUGUAACAGUUGAAAUUUUUUUUCUUGUUGUGGCAUUUAGGAUUGAUCUUUUAUUGUAAGGUCGUACAGGACUAUUUAAAGAUUUAAUAACGCUAUCAUUCGUAUUGAGAAAUCCUGUUGGUGAGGGAUCAUUUUAGUAGGUAUGCUGCUUUAUAAUGUUUUUGAAGACAAGACUUCAUGCCCCAUGGGAUGCUCAGCUUGCAAGUUUCAUGAUAUUUGAUACUAUAAUACGCACCUUCUAAAGAAGCCUAGACUUGCAAACGGAGUUGAACACCUUGUAUCUGUGUGCUAUCCUUUUCUUUUUAUUAUUUCAGUACCAUUUCAGUGUUCUGUUCCUGUUGUACAGAGGCAUGCUUCCACAAAAUUGCCCUUUGUCAUUCUCAACUUUUUGCCCUUUUCCUGUUCUAUAAAGAGUACAUUUUAUCGGUUUCAAUGUAGC